UUAUUACACGACCACUUACACCGGAACUCCGAAGAAAGACGAGAGAAACAAACUUGCAAAGCAUACGCAUGAACCAACCAAGACAUACUCUCCGACGUUAGAACGUACGGCUGAUACUUGACCCUAUGCCAUUGCGAUCUUCCUGAACCGGCGGAGCUUCCAGGUGCUGAGACUGAAUAAUAAACAUUUAUCAUGAUAUAAGGAAAUAUAAAUAAUAAUUUUAUUAUUGGCUCUAGGGCAUAUUUCCUUCACUGAGACCACCUAGAUGAAACAUAGACAAAACGGGCCCAAGAUCUGGCCUUGACUAAAGCUCCACACGCUUGUCAUCGACGCCAAUCAGUAUCGCCGAAACGAGGAAGGGACGGGAAGAACUUAUCCCACACCAUGGAUUACAGUGUCGCCUCGUCAUUGUUAGCCAUACACCUAGAACGAGGCCUAGCCAAAGUUAGGGCAACCCAAACAAGGCCAACCCUAAUCAGUGGUCUCCCCACCUCGCUGGCAGGAAGGCAUCCAGAGGCGAAGGGAACCGUCGGCAUCAACACUUACACGAAACCCUAGCUACCCUUUUAUGGAGAGAGAGGUGGGAGGCGAGAGCGCCGAUCUAACUCUUGUUGACGACCACUUGGAUCUUGAAAUGGCCCUCCACUAUAGAAGAGAGAGUAAACACUUUGGCUAAAUCUUGAUUGAUACUUGCUUUUCUUUCUUUUCUAGGAGAGUACCACAUACUACACCCUUUGAUGUCGGGCCAAUUCAUCAUUAGCCCCACCUUCACUCUGUCCCGGCCAAUGUUUCAUGUUACACUGCAAUUGAUAGAAUGCUCCAUCUUUCUUUGCCUCUAUAUAAAAUGCCCCACACUUAACUUGAUGAUGUAUCUUUACCGUAUGAAAGAAAAUAAGAGGUUGGAAAAGACCAAAAUACCCCAGAACAAAAAACAUAGUUAGUAACCCAUGCAAUCUUUGUUAGAGAUACGACAGACAAAUCAAACACGACGAAGAACGAAACCAAACAUAGGAGACACGAGAUUUAACGUGGAAAACCCCUCCGACACGAUGGGGGGAAAAGCCACGGGCGCCAGCCAUCAAAUCUUCACUAUAUCGGGGGAGGUUAGAAACGCCAGAGAUUUACAAUUAAUCAACUUAUCUCGUGCGGCGGCUUACAAAGUUACACAAGUGAUCUAGGUCAGACUUCGCUUCACUCCGCUUCAGCCCAAGUCUAUUGGUUACGGGCCUCGCUCCGCUCGCUCGUCAGAAGUUAGCCUUUCUCUUUAUACUUGAAUUUGGAUCACAACAUAACAAUCAUGUAUGAAUGCCCAAAAAUUCAAAUUAUGUCCAAAGACUAACAUGCCUAUAAAAAUCUGAAAACAUUACAGAAAAUCAAGUGUAUUCAUAGUAGUCUACGGUUAAAAUUUCAGCCAAUUCCGAACUAGGAGCAAAGAGAAAAAAAAUUCAAAUUUCUGUUCAGACUUGUUCAGAUUUUGGACAAAAAUUUGUACUACCCAGAAAAAUCUGAGAAAAUUACAGAAAAUAAAGUAUAUCCAUAGUAGUCUAAUAUUCAAAUUUCAGACAAUUCUAAUCAUCCUGGACACGGGAGGUUGUAGUAGGUCACCUUCACGGUCCGAACGAUUAAGGUUGCACAACCAAACAAACAGGAAAAGGAUGUGUUGUGCAUGUGUGCUCUCUUGUGAUUUUGCCUAGGGGCAACUCUGUCAUUUCCAUCUCUAAUUGCAAGUUAUUAUUAAAAAUAGUUGUUCAAUUUGGGGCAGUUUAUCUAGAGGCAUUUUUGGGGGUAUUUUAUCUAGAGGCAGUGCAAAGAUGAGGCAUUUUAACGAUUGCAAAAAAUCAGGCCCCUUUGCUGCCAGGCACUAAGACAAUUAGGCCCAAACGUACUCCUAGAGGGCAUCAGGCCCGAGCGCUCCUAUUAUCCGCCUUAAGCGGAAAAUAUCUGUCUCUCUAAAAAAAGCGGAAAAUACCAUGCAAAUCGCUUCCUAGGAUAAUAUGUAGCAGCUCAUUUAUGAUUAUAUCAUUUUUUAUUUUAAUUUAUUUACAGAAAAUAUUGUAGAAAACUAUUUUAAAUAAAUCAUAUAUUUGCAAAAAAUCUAGCAAAUUUAGAUUUUUUUUUAGAAAAACAAUUUAAAAAAAUAUAACACUUGUUGAGGAAAAUGAAAGCAUAUCCGUGCAUGCAAAUAAAAAUGUUCAUGUAUGAGAUACAAAAAUAUCAAAUAUUUAUAAGGAAUUCGUGUAUUUAAAAGGUUUAAAAAAAUUAAAGCUCAUUUUAAAAUAUUUAAAUAUAUGAAAUAAAAUAUUCAUUGUGUAUAUAAAAUAUUCAUAUGUUAAUAGAUGCAUUAAAAUUUAGUUAGUUUAGGAAUAUUUUCAUGGAUAUUCUACAAAGAAUUCAUAAUCUGAAAUAACAAUUUCAUGAAGUAUUAAAAAUGCUUUUACAUAUUUUUAUAGAUAAAAAAGGCAAAAUAAACAAAAAGGAUAAAAAGAAAUUUGAAAAUGUAUAUAAAAUGGAAGGAGAAAAGGGAAAAAGACUAGAAACCAAAAGCCAAAAUAAAUCGAAAACACUAUUUGAAAAGUAGAGGUAACCAACAAAAAUAAUCUAAAAGUUGGCUAAAGCAAAGUGACCAUGCCCAUUUGCUUCAUGCAUGAUUUGGUGUCCUAUUCUUCGUAACAAGUGCAAAAGCCGGAUGAAAGCUUUAUUUUUCUCUCCCGUGUUUUCACCGGUUCCAACUUGUAGCCAGUUCAACACUUAGAGAAGGGGGGCCACUAAUCAAUGUUGAAGUGUAGUAUAAGUUUUCUUUUCUAUGUUGGCUUUGUGUGUUCAUAAUAGUGACAUGAGGAGAAUGGAGGUAAUUUCAUAUAGAAAAAUGUGACAUGACUCUGUCUCAUCCUAUCAUGGUUGCUGUGGCAGACAUGCCCGCAUGUUAUCAGAUCUAGAUCCGAAGGGUUAUCAUAUGACGCUUUGACUUGCCAACACAGUGGUGGUGUCAAUUGUGUGGUUGAAUUUGAUUUGGCUAGCGAUUAUCUUGUUUCAAUUUUUUUGUUCCUAGUAUCCUAUACCUUGACAAUAUGGCAAUGAGGUGUCCUGCUCUGCAAGGGGUGCGUCUAUGAUCAUAUAUAGUGUGUUGAACGAUCUUGAAUUCUCACUUGUAGUGUGGGAGGCUAGUGUGAUUUUUUUUAAAUCGUGAGUUUGGUUCCAUUUGUGCAUGUUUGGCUUUUUUUCGUGAAGUGCAUGUUUGGCUUUCAACAUGCUGUUUUUUCACCUGUACCUCAAGGAAAAGUUAAGAUGCAAGAUAUGAAACUACGAAAAGGUGUGGUAGCUCCCGGAACUCCCGGCAGGCCGUGCAGUCCCGUGCUGCAUCUGACCGGGAGCAUGCCACUUGCAGCAUAUCAGGUAACUUUUGUCAGCCCAUUUGAUUAUUUUAAUAACGGUGCAGGUAUAGGACUGAGCAGCGAGCAGCUCCACCGCGGUUCCCGACAAAUGUGGCAGGUCAGGCCACUGUAGUCAUGUGACCUCCGAUGCCAACUCCCAAUGCAGCAUCCUCACCGUAUCUCUUAUUUCUUUUAUUUUGCUACUAGAAGAUAUGGAAGAACAGCGUCAUUGACUACAGGCUACCCAAUACGUACUAGUCUGCUCUUUUUUCGUUCUCUCUCUUCCAUUACCUCUCUCUACAGGCCUCUCUCUGACUCUGAUUUUUUUUGUCUCGCGCACAACGCCUCUCUCCCUUCUCUCCGGUGACACCUCUCUCUGAGAGAAUAAAGCUUCACACAUGCAGACCAGCCAAAGAUGUGAAGUGAUGGGAUGGAACAGAAGAUAACUCUCUUCCACGUGCCUACAGUGGCUCGGCCUCACAUGUGCCAGUCUGCUAAUACUACAAAUCACAAAGUUGUGCCAGACCAGGGAUCAGAUCACGAGGCAGGGCAACGGUGAAGAUAAUGGGGUGUCUAGGCACCUGGGUGUUGAAAAGCCAGUCUCGGUUGUAUCAAAGGAUUUGAAUAACUUUGAUGUAGCUUUUGGUUGUAUCAAAGGUUUGUCUUGUCCGUUUGUGACUUUAUUGUUUUAGAUUUGAUAAAAUUUAUUUAUUGGAUGUAAGUUGGAUAUUUUCUUUAAAACAUAAGGCAGUGUAAAUAAUAGGUAAACUCUUUGGGGGAAAAAUGAGAUAAACUCGCGCUAAAUCAUUUAUUGGAUUCAGGCAUAUAACACGUUAAAUAAACAUAUGUGAAACACAUUGUGCUAGGGAGAAACCUUAUUACACGGCCACUUACACCGGCACUCCGAAGAAAGACGAGAGAAACAAACUUGCAAAGCAUACGCAUGAACCAACCAAGACAUACUCUCCGACGUUAGAACGUACGGCUGAUACUUGACCCUAUGCCAUUGCGAUCUUCCUGAACCGGCGGAGCUUCCAGGUGCUGAGACUGGACGCCGGCACGCCCCACACCAGGCACUCGUACUGAGCCCUGCUCCCGUCGGGCGUCGCCGCCGCCACAACCAGCCG
rnacentral:lncRNA from 1 species